UAAGGAAUAUUGGACAAUGGGGGCAACCCUGAUCCAGCCAUGCCGCGUGAAGGAUGAAGGCCCUAUGGGUCGUAAACUUCUUUUGAACGGGAGAAAACCCUCGUACGUGUACGAGGCUGAUAGUACCGUUAGAAUAAGGAUCGGCUAACUCCGUGCCAGCAGCCGCGGUAAUACGGAGGAUCCAAGCGUUAUCCGGAUUCAUUGGGUUUAAAGGGUGCGUAGGCGGACUGAUAAGUCAGCGGUGAAAUCCCACGGCUCAACUGUGGAACUGCCGUUGAUACUGUUAGUCUUGAAUGCAGAUGAUGUGGGCGGAAUAUGACAUGUAGUGGUGAAAUACUUAGAUAUGUCAUAGAACACCGAUUGCGAAGGCAGCUCACAAAACUGUGAUUGACGCUGAUGCACGAAAGCGUGGGGAUCAAACAG
rnacentral:rRNA from 1 species